rnacentral:rRNA from 1 species
UACGAAGGGGGCUAGCGUUGCUCGGAAUGACUGGGCGUAAAGGGCGCGUAGGCGGUUUGGACAGUCAGAUGUGAAAUUCCUGGGCUCAACCUGGGGGCUGCAUUUGAUACGUUCGGACUAGAGUGGGGAAGAGGGUCGUGGAAUUCCCAGUGUAGAGGUGAAAUUCGUAGAUAUCGGGAGGAACACCAGUGGCGAAGGCGGCGACCUGGGCCAAUACUGACGCUGAGGUGCGAAAGCGUGGGGAGCAAACAGG